UGCGCCCUUAGCUCAGCUGGUAGAGCAAGUGACUCUUAAUCACUGGGUCGAAGGUUCAAGUCCUUCAGGGCGCAU
rnacentral:tRNA from 1 species